rnacentral:rRNA from 1 species
UAGGGAAUCUUCGGCAAUGGGGGCAACCCUGACCGAGCAACGCCGCGUGAGUGAAGAAGGUUUUCGGAUCGUAAAGCUCUGUUGUAGGUCAAGAACGGGUGUGAGAGUGGAAAGUUCACACUGUGACGGUAGCUUACCAGAAAGGGACGGCUAACUACGUGCCAGCAGCCGCGGUAAUACGUAGGUCCCGAGCGUUGUCCGGAUUUAUUGGGCGUAAAGCGAGCGCAGGCGGUUUGAUAAGUCUGAAGUUAAAGGCUGUGGCUCAACCAUAGUUCGCUUUGGAAACUGUCAAACUUGAGUGCAGAAGGGGAGAGUGGAAUUCCAUGUGUAGCGGUGAAAUGCGUAGAUAUAUGGAGGAACACCGGUGGCGAAAGCGGCUCUCUGGUCUGUAACUGACGCUGAGGCUCGAAAGCGUGGGGAGCGAACAGGAUUAGAUACCCUGGUAGUCCACGCCGUAAACGAUGAGUGCUAGGUGUUGGAUCCUUUCCGGGAUUCAGUGCCGCAGCUAACGCAUUAAGCACUCCGCCUGGGGAGUACGACCGCAAGGUUGAAACUCUAAAGUGAAUU